AGUGCGGUUCUUGCGCUGUCCGGUGCGCUCGCGUCGGCCCUUGAAAAUCCGAGUGAGGGAGUGUGAUUUUCGUGCCGGACCGUACCCACAUCCGCAGCAGGUCUCCAAGGUGAACAGCCUCUAGUCGAUGGACCAAUGUAGGUAAGGGAAGUCGGCAAAACGGAUCCGUAACCUUGGGAUAAGGAUUGGCUCUGAGGACUGAGCCGGUCGGGCUGGGGACCUGAAGCAGGAACGGCACUGCACCGGGACUGGGCGGGGCUCGCCGUUGACGCGGCGCGGCCAAGCCCGGACCAGCGUCGGGACCUUCCUGUGGAAAGCCUCAGCUGCGCGGCGUCCGAGGGCUUCGUGCCCAAAGUGCUAUGCUUCGGCCGGCAAAAAACAGUCAACUCAGAACUGGCACGGACCGGGGGAAUCCGACUGUCUAAUUAAAACAAAGCAUUGCGAUGGCCGCUGGUCGGUGUUGACGCAAUGUGAUUUCUGCCCAGUGCUCUGAAUGUCAACGUGAAGAGAUUCAUCAAAGCGCGGGUAAACGGCGGGAGUAAGUAUGACUCUCUAGAAAAGUAAGCGAGAUUUCCAGUAUUCCGCUUGAAAGCGCUGCCCGUCGCAAAUGCAGUAGGGUAAAUUGU
rnacentral:ncRNA from 1 species